GAUGAACGCUAACGGCAGGCCUAAUACAUGCAAGUCGAGGGGUAGAAGAGGCUUGCUUCUUUGAGACCGGCGCACGGGUGCGUGACGCGUAUGCAACCUACCUUCAUCUGCGGGAUAGCCCGCAGAAAUCCGGGGUAAUACCGCAUAAAACCACAGGAUCGCCUUAUGCGCAGAACAAACAAUUACGGGAGUGAGAUGGGCAUGCGUGUCAUGAGCUAGUUGGCGGGGUAACGGCCCACCAAGGCGACGAUGACUAGGGGAUCUGAGAGGAUGGCCCCCCACACUGGUACUGAGACACGGACCAGACUCCUACGGGAGGCAGCAGUAAGGAAUAUUGGUCAAUGGAGGCAACUCUGAACCAGCCAUGCCGCGUGCAGGAAGACUGCCCUAUGGGUUGUAAACUGCUUUUAUUCGGGAAUAAACCUUAUUACGUGUAAUAAGCUGAAUGUACCGAAGGAAUAAGGAUCGGCUAACUCCGUGCCAGCAGCCGCGGUAA
rnacentral:rRNA from 1 species